AUGACUGAGCAAAGUUUGACAUUUUUGAGAAAAUAAUAGAUUGAUUGAGAUGACCGAGCAAAGCUUGAUAUUUUUAAAAAAAUAAUAGCAGCUAUAAUAGUAAAUAAAAAAGAUUUAAUUUAAUUUAUCUUCUUUUUUAAAAAAAAUAUAUACCACCUUAAUACACAUCAGUAAGACGCAACAUUAACUAGAUACCACCUUAAUACACAUCAAAGAUAGUUGUUCCCCAACAUUAAUGAAUGGAAGUCAUUAAUGGAGAACAAAGGCUAAUUCUGUGUACUUGGCAUAAUCAAUCAUGCAUACUGAAAAGCAAAGUAACUAUAAUGGUUUAAAUAGAUGACACUAACACAAAACAACAAAAGAUGCAAAAAGCAAAAAAUAUUGAUAAUGACUCAAGAUACAAUAAUUGACUUGAUGAGUAUAGUUGAGGAAGAGAAAUUAAGUAAUGUUUCUUUCUGGGAGAUACCAGUUACACAUUAAAUAAAUACCAGUUAUACCAUCAAAAGAGAAAGUGCAAAAGAGAAAGACCUAACUACAAGAGUAGUUUUACAAUACGAUGCAAAGUGAAGAGAAAAAGCUGCUUUUUUUAUUAAUUUAUGCACUCAUUCAAUAGAUAUUAUUAAAUUGUUUUUGUUGUCGACUCUUUGACUUUGAUGUUAUAGAUAUGGCAUCAAAUUUUUUGUCUGGGUUUCAGACAUAGUGAAGCCCAUAUUAAGCUCAAAGUACAUACUUAUGAGUCAUCGGAAGAUUAUUUACGUUGCUUUGAAAAAUAAAAAACAUUGACAGGGGGUAUAUAAUUUAGGAUAGUUUGACACCGAAGGUAAAGUUUUAAUUGACAAUAUUUGUUGAAUAAAAAAAACUCUUUUGA